GGGCAAGUGAAUACUGAAUAGUAAACAAAUUCUUUACUGCACUACAAAUUAUGCUAGGAUCCAAUGUUUGUCAUACAAGAUUAUAAGAAGCAUCAAGUGUUUGCUAAUAAUUACGAGAUCAACAGUUCCAACAGCUUAAUAAGGUAUGAUACCCUUCAAAACAUCUGUGCUCAUUUGAUAACAACUACAAGCUGAAUGGCUUCAACAGUUUAACAAGAAUCUCAAAAUUUUAUACCAUAUUGCAACCGCACUUUAGGCCAAAUCCUCUGGUAUAUACUGUGGUACUGUACAAUAUUCUUAAAACUUCUUUUCAUUUUUAUAAUAACUAUUGUUUUCAUUUUAACAAGGUAAACUUAAAUACUUGAAGGCUGAAAUUACAUUAUCAGGUUGGGGGGAAAAAGAACUGCUGGACAAUUUCGUGAAGGUUUUGUUUUUUACUUGAUGAAAUGAAUUACCAGGAUAGACUUGUCUCUUUAAACUGUAUAUUGCAUCC
rnacentral:lncRNA from 1 species